AGCCAAAAAUCUAGCCCCAUAAACUCCCCAUGUUCCCCCAUUCUUCCCCCACAAACUAAAACAUUCAACCAACCUAGUAAAGGCGAUUAAAAAGUUUAUUAGAGCUAUAACUGUAGUACCGCAAGGAAAAGAUGAAAUAAAAAUGAAACAAAUAUUAAGCCCCAAAAAGUAGAGACACAUACUCGUACCUUUUGCAUCAUGGUUUAACUAGUCCAACUAAGCAAAAAGAAUUUUAGUUUAACCCCCCGAAACUAGGCGAGCUACUUCGAGGCAGCUUAAUGAGCGAACCCGUCUCUGUUGCAAAAGAGUGGGACGACCUCCAAGUAGCGGUGACAGACCUAACGAGCCUAGUGAUAGCUGGUUACUUAAAAAAAGGAUUUUAGUCCUGCCUAAAGCACCUCAAAUCAAACUAAAUAACAUGAAUGCUUUAGAGUCACUCAAAUAGGGUACAGCCUGUUUGAAGCUAGGAUACAACCUCAACUAAAGGGUAACCCCCCCCCCAAAAAAAUAAGUGGGCCUAAAAGCAGCCACCUUUAAAAUAGCGUCAAAGCUUACUUCCAACUCAACAAAAUACCACUAAACACCCAAAACCCUUUACCCCCAUUAAGUUUCUCUAUAAACUAUAGAGAUAAUUAUGUUAAAACUAGUAAUAAGAAGAAGACCUUCUCUUAAAUGCAACUGUAGGUCAGAAAGGACAAACCACUGACAAUUACAACGUAUGUGAAACUAAAGUAGCAACUCUUCAAGAAAACCCUAUUUUACUUAACGUUAACCUAACACCAGAGCAUUCCAAGAAAGAUUAAAAGAAAAAGAAGGAACUCGGCAAACACACUAACCUCGCCUGUUUAYCAAAAACAUCGCCUCUUGGCCCCCAUAAGAGGUCCAGCCUGCCCAGUGACUUAGUUCAACGGCCGCGGUAUCCUAACCGUGCGAAGGUAGCGUAAUCACUUGUUCUUUAAAUGAGGACUAGUAUGAAUGGCACCACGAAGGUUAAGCUGUCUCCUCUUUCUAAUCAAUGAAACUAAUCCCCCCGUGAAGAAGCGGGGAUAAAUAUAUAAGACGAGAAGACCCUAUGGAGCUUUAAACUAUAUAGCACUAGCCCUACACUUUCAAGCUCCAGAGAAAUAAAAAUUACCCCGGCUACCAUGACUAUCAGUUUUAGGUUGGGGUGACCGCGGAGUAAAAACCAACCUCCACAUUGAAUGACAAUUACCCUGAGCAAAAAACCACAGCUUUAAGCACCAAUAAAUUGACAUUAAUUGACCCAAUAUUUUGAUCAACGAACCAAGUUACCCUAGGGAUAACAGCGCAAUCCAUUUCAAGAGCUCCUAUCGACAAGUGGGUUUACGACCUCGAUGUUGGAUCAGGGUAUCCCAGUGGUGCAGCCGCUACUAAAGGUUCGUUUGUUCAACGAUUAAAACCCU
rnacentral:rRNA from 1 species